rnacentral:rRNA from 1 species
UAGCACAGAGAGCUUGCUCUCGGGUGACGAGCGGCGGACGGGUGAGUAAUGUCUGGGAAACUGCCUGAUGGAGGGGGAUAACUACUGGAAACGGUAGCUAAUACCGCAUAAUGUCGCAAGACCAAAGUGGGGGACCUUCGGGCCUCAUGCCAUCAGAUGUGCCCAGAUGGGAUUAGCUAGUAGUGGGGUAACGGCUCACCUAGGCGACGAUCCCUAGCUGGUCUGAGAGGAUGACCAGCCACACUGGAACUGAGACACGGUCCAGACUCCUACGGGAGGCAGCAGUGGGGAAUAUUGCACAAUGGGCGCAAGCCUGAUGCAGCCAUGCCGCGUGUAUGAAGAAGGCCUUCGGGUUGUAAAGUACUUUCAGCGGGGAGGAAGGCGAUAAGGUUAAUAACCUUGUCGAUUGACGUUACCCGCAGAAGAAGCACCGGCUAACUCCGUGCCAGCAGCCGCGGUAAUACGGAGGGUGCAAGCGUUAAUCGGAAUUACUGGGCGUAAAGCGCACGCAGGCGGUCUGUCAAGUCGGAUGUGAAAUCCCCGGGCUCAACCUGGGAACUGCAUUCGAAACUGGCAGGCUAGAGUCUUGUAGAGGGGGGUAGAAUUCCAGGUGUAGCGGUGAAAUGCGUAGAGAUCUGGAGGAAUACCGGUGGCGAAGGCGGCCCCCUGGACAAAGACUGACGCUCAGGUGCGAAAGCGUGGGGAGCAAACAGGAUUAGAUACCCUGGUAGUCCACGCCGUAAACGAUGUCGAUUUGGAGGUUGUGCCCUUGAGGCGUGGCUUCCGGAGCUAACGCGUUAAAUCGACCGCCUGGGGAGUACGGCCGCAAGGUUAAAACUCAAAUGAAUUGACGGGGGCCCGCACAAGCGGUGGAGCAUGUGGUUUAAUUCGAUGCAACGCGAAGAACCUUACCUGGUCUUGACAUCCACAGAACUUAGCAGAGAUGCUUUGGUGCCUUCGGGAACUGUGAGACAGGUGCUGCAUGGCUGUCGUCAGCUCGUGUUGUGAAAUGUUGGGUUAAGUCCCGCAACGAGCGCAACCCUUAUCCUUUGUUGCCAGCGGUCCGGCCGGGAACUCAAAGGAGACUGCCAGUGAUAAACUGGAGGAAGGUGGGGAUGACGUCAAGUCAUCAUGGCCCUUACGACCAGGGCUACACACGUGCUACAAUGGCAUAUACAAAGAGAAGCGACCUCGCGAGAGCAAGCGGACCUCAUAAAGUAUGUCGUAGUCCGGAUUGGAGUCUGCAACUCGACUCCAUGAAGUCGGAAUCGCUAGUAAUCGUAGAUCAGAAUGCUACGGUGAAUACGUUCCCGGGCCUUGUACACACCGCCCGUCACACCAUGGGAGUGGGUUGCAAAAGAAGUAGGUAGCUAACCUCGGAGGGCGCU